GGAGAUCUGCCUGGGCAUCAAGCAGAGAAGGCCUCAAUCCACCACUAUCUCUGCACAGGAAGGGUUAGGAAACUCAGGCUGCUGGUCCGGGCAAGCAGUUGCUCCAAAUGCAUGGAGUUCUGCCUGGAUGUGGAGUGAAGAGGCCCCCCUGCAUCAGGAUCUCUACACAGGAAGGAUGGCCGUAGCUCAGGCUGCUGAACCAGAUGACUUGAUUGUCCAUGCAGAAAACCUAAAAGAAUGAAGAAAAAUAUUUUCAAAACUAUAAACAAUUGUAUUAAGUUUGCAGAAUACAAGAGAAAUAUACAAAAGUCAAUUGCUUUCCUGUAUACCAGCAAAGAAUAAGUGGAAUUUGAAAUUUAAAAUACAAUACCACUUAAAUUAGCAUCCCCCCAAAAAUGAAAUACAUAGGUAUAAUUCUAGCAACAUAUAUGCAAGGUCUAUAUGAUGAAAACCGGAGAACUUAGAUGAAAGAAAUUAGAUGAAAGAAAUUCUAAAAAAAUUAAAUAAAUGGAGAACUAUUCCACGUUCAUGGGUAAGAAGACAGUAUUUUCAAGAUGUCAGUGCUUUUCAGCUUGAUCUACAGAUUCAAUGCGACCUCAACCAAAAUCCCAGCAAGUUAUUUUGUAGAUAUUGACAAACUAACUAUAAAGCUUAUACAAAGAGGCAAAAGACCAAGAACAGAAAACACAAUAUUAAAAGAGAAGAAAAAAAUAGGAGGACGGAUACUACUCAACUUGAAGAAUUACUAUAAAGCUACAGUAAUCAAGAUAGCGUAAUAUUGGCAAAGAAUAGACAAAUAGAGCAAUGGAGCAGAAUACAGAGCCCAAAAAUAGACACACAAUAAUAUAGUCAACUAUCUUUCUCAAAGGAGAGAGGCAAUACAACAAGAAAAAGAUAAUCUUUCAACAAAUAUUGCUAGAACUGAAUAUCUAUAUGCAAAAGGAUAAAUCUAGACACAGACCUUGUACCUUGUACAAAUAUUAACUCAAAAUGGAUAAUAGACCUAAAUGUAGUACACAAACAUAUAAAACUCAAAAUAGAUAAUAUAGUAGAAUAUCUAGAUGACCUCAGAAAUGGUGAUGACUUUUAAGAUACACCAUUAAAGGCACAACCCAUGAAGUGAAAACUAAUAACCUGAACUUUAUUAAAGUUUAAAAAUCCCCACUUCUGUUCUAUGAAAGACAUUGUCAAAAAAUAAGAAUACAAACUACAAACUGGGAGAAAAUAUUGGCAAAAGACCUAUCUGAUAAAUGACUAUUAUCCAAAACAUAUAAGCAACUCAAAAACUCAACAAUGACGAAAAGCAGCACAAUUAAAAAGUGAGCAAAAGACCUGAACAGAAACCUCACUCAAGAAGAUAUACAGAUGACAAAUAAGCACAUCAGAAGAUAUUUCACACCAUAUGUUAUUCAAAAAUAAGCAUAUCAGAAGAUAUUUCACACCAUUUCUUGAAUAACCAUAUGUUAUUCAAGAAAUGCAAAUUAAAGCAACAAUGAGGUAUCAUUACCAUGACGGUUAGAAUGGCCAAUCUUCAGAAUACUGACAACGCUAACUGUUGACAAAGACAUGAAGCAACAGGUGGUGAGAAUACCAAAUGGUAUAACCACUUUGGAAGACAGUUUGGCAGUUUAUAAUAAAACUAAUCAUACUCUUA
rnacentral:lncRNA from 1 species